GAGGAGUUUUAUUCUUGCUUUGUUGUUCAGUUUUAUGUUUGUUUUAUAUGUAAGUUUGUGCGUGAGUUUCCUUUAUUUCUAGAUGGGAUGAGGGUAUAAUUGUUUUGGUGAAAUAUUAUUCUCAUUAGUUAUUAUUGGUUGGUCAAGUGUUCUUGUAUUUAGCAAUUCAUUCUAGUUUCGGUUAAAUUUUGUGCCAGCAACCGCGGUUACACCUUGGAGGCUUCUGAAUAUGUUCGGCAUUUGUAGUUUUAUGUUAAAUUUUAUUGGCUUUAAUAUUAAUAGUUUUUAGGUGAAAUUUUUAUUGUUGUUUAUUGCCUUGUAUUUGUUUGGAGGCUAUAAAAUUCUUUUUAUAAACUAGGAUUAGAUACCCUAUUAUUUUAGAACGUUAAUUUUUGUUUGUCUGAGUAGUAUUAGUUAUGUUCUUGAAACUUAAAGAAUUUGGCGGUAUCUUAUUCCAUCCAGAGGAAUCUGUCUCGUUAUCGAUAGUCCACGUUGGACCUUACUUAGUUGCUUUGGUUUGUAUACCGCCGUUUAUUGAUUAUCUUUUUAGAGUUAUUUUAAUUUUCUGGUUUCUUUAUUUAUGAUUUAUUUCAGGUCAAGGUGCAGCUUGUUUCUAAGUGGAUGAUGGAUUACAUUGUUAUUUGUGUUGAUUGGAUUAUUAGUUUUAAUAUUAAUAUGAAAUUGGAUUUGGUUGUAAUGUUUUAUAGAUUGUUUACAUGAUAUUUGGUUCUGGGAUAUGCACACAUCGCCCGUCGCUCUCGUUUGUUUUAAUGAGAUAAGUCGUAACAAAGUGGUUGUACCGGAAGGUGCAGCUGGAUUGAU
rnacentral:ncRNA from 1 species